rnacentral:rRNA from 1 species
GGGUUGUGAGGUUAAGCGACUAAGCGUACACGGUGGAUGCCCUGGCAGUCAGAGGCGAUGAAGGACGUGCUAAUCUGCGAUAAGCGUCGGUAAGGUGAUAUGAACCGUUAUAACCGGCGAUUUCCGAAUGGGGAAACCCAGUGUGUUUCGACACACUAUCAUUAACUGAAUCCAUAGGUUAAUGAGGCGAACCGGGGGAACUGAAACAUCUAAGUACCCCGAGGAAAAGAAAUCAACCGAGAUUCCCCCAGUAGCGGCGAGCGAACGGGGAGGAGCCCAGAGCCUGAAUCAGUGUGUGUGUUAGUGGAAGCGUCUGGAAAGGCGCGCGAUACAGGGUGACAGCCCCGUACACAAAAAUACACAUAUUGUGAGCUCGAUGAGUAGGGCGGGACACGUGGUAUCCUGUCUGAAUAUGGGGGGACCAUCCUCCAAGGCUAAAUACUCCUGACUGACCGAUAGUGAACCAGUACCGUGAGGGAAAGGCGAAAAGAACCCCGGCGAGGGGAGUGAAAAAGAACCUGAAACCGUGUACGUACAAGCAGUGGGAGCCUCUUUUAUGGGGUGACUGCGUACCUUUUGUAUAAUGGGUCAGCGACUUAUAUUCUGUAGCAAGGUUAACCGAAUAGGGGAGCCGAAGGGAAACCGAGUCUUAACUGGGCGUUAAGUUGCAGGGUAUAGACCCGAAACCCGGUGAUCUAGCCAUGGGCAGGUUGAAGGUUGGGUAACACUAACUGGAGGACCGAACCGACUAAUGUUGAAAAAUUAGCGGAUGACUUGUGGCUGGGGGUGAAAGGCCAAUCAAACCGGGAGAUAGCUGGUUCUCCCCGAAAGCUAUUUAGGUAGCGCCUCGUGAAUUCAUCUCCGGGGGUAGAGCACUGUUUCGGCAAGGGGGUCAUCCCGACUUACCAACCCGAUGCAAACUGCGAAUACCGGAGAAUGUUAUCACGGGAGACACACGGCGGGUGCUAACGUCCGUCGUGAAGAGGGAAACAACCCAGACCGCCAGCUAAGGUCCCAAAGUCAUGGUUAAGUGGGAAACGAUGUGGGAAGGCCCAGACAGCCAGGAUGUUGGCUUAGAAGCAGCCAUCAUUUAAAGAAAGCGUAAUAGCUCACUGGUCGAGUCGGCCUGCGCGGAAGAUGUAACGGGGCUAAACCAUGCACCGAAGCUGCGGCAGCGACACUAUGUGUUGUUGGGUAGGGGAGCGUUCUGUAAGCCUGCGAAGGUGUGCUGUGAGGCAUGCUGGAGGUAUCAGAAGUGCGAAUGCUGACAUAAGUAACGAUAAAGCGGGUGAAAAGCCCGCUCGCCGGAAGACCAAGGGUUCCUGUCCAACGUUAAUCGGGGCAGGGUGAGUCGACCCCUAAGGCGAGGCCGAAAGGCGUAGUCGAUGGGAAACAGGUUAAUAUUCCUGUACUUGGUGUUACUGCGAAGGGGGGGACGGAGAAGGCUAUGUUGGCCGGGCGACGGUUGUCCCGGUUUAAGCGUGUAGGCUGGUUUUCCAGGCAAAUCCGGAAAAUCAAGGCUGAGGCGUGAUGACGAGGCACUACGGUGCUGAAGCAACAAAUGCCCUGCUUCCAGGAAAAGCCUCUAAGCAUCAGGUAACAUCAAAUCGUACCCCAAACCGACACAGGUGGUCAGGUAGAGAAUACCAAGGCGCUUGAGAGAACUCGGGUGAAGGAACUAGGCAAAAUGGUGCCGUAACUUCGGGAGAAGGCACGCUGAUAUGUAGGUGAAGUCCCUCGCGGAUGGAGCUGAAAUCAGUCGAAGAUACCAGCUGGCUGCAACUGUUUAUUAAAAACACAGCACUGUGCAAACACGAAAGUGGACGUAUACGGUGUGACGCCUGCCCGGUGCCGGAAGGUUAAUUGAUGGGGUCAGCGCAAGCGAAGCUCUUGAUCGAAGCCCCGGUAAACGGCGGCCGUAACUAUAACGGUCCUAAGGUAGCGAAAUUCCUUGUCGGGUAAGUUCCGACCUGCACGAAUGGCGUAAUGAUGGCCAGGCUGUCUCCACCCGAGACUCAGUGAAAUUGAACUCGCUGUGAAGAUGCAGUGUACCCGCGGCAAGACGGAAAGACCCCGUGAACCUUUACUAUAGCUUGACACUGAACAUUGAGCCUUGAUGUGUAGGAUAGGUGGGAGGCUUUGAAGUGUGGACGCCAGUCUGCAUGGAGCCGACCUUGAAAUACCACCCUUUAAUGUUUGAUGUUCUAACGUUGACCCGUGAUCCGGGUUGCGGACAGUGUCUGGUGGGUAGUUUGACUGGGGCGGUCUCCUCCUAAAGAGUAACGGAGGAGCACGAAGGUUGGCUAAUCCUGGUCGGACAUCAGGAGGUUAGUGCAAUGGCAUAAGCCAGCUUGACUGCGAGCGUGACGGCGCGAGCAGGUGCGAAAGCAGGUCAUAGUGAUCCGGUGGUUCUGAAUGGAAGGGCCAUCGCUCAACGGAUAAAAGGUACUCCGGGGAUAACAGGCUGAUACCGCCCAAGAGUUCAUAUCGACGGCGGUGUUUGGCACCUCGAUGUCGGCUCAUCACAUCCUGGGGCUGAAGUAGGUCCCAAGGGUAUGGCUGUUCGCCAUUUAAAGUGGUACGCGAGCUGGGUUUAGAACGUCGUGAGACAGUUCGGUCCCUAUCUGCCGUGGGCGCUGGAGAACUGAGGGGGGCUGCUCCUAGUACGAGAGGACCGGAGUGGACGCAUCACUGGUGUUCGGGUUGUCAUGCCAAUGGCACUGCCCGGUAGCUAAAUGCGGAAGAGAUAAGUGCUGAAAGCAUCUAAGCACGAAACUUGCCCCGAGAUGAGUUCUCCCUGACUCCUUGAGAGUCCUGAAGGAACGUUGAAGACGACGACGUUGAUAGGCCGGGUGUGUAAGCGCAGCGAUGCGUUGAGCUAACCGGUACUAAUGAACCGUGAGGCUUAACCUUACAACGCCGAAG